rnacentral:rRNA from 1 species
GACGAACGCUGGCGGCGUGCUUAACACAUGCAAGUCGAACGAAGUGGCGAACGGGUGAGUAACGCGUAAUCAACCUGCCCUUCAGAGGGGGACAACAGUUGGAAACGACUGCUAAUCCCGCAUAAUGAUGGAGGGGAUUGCGUGUGAUUAGCUAGUUGGAGGGGUAACGGCCAACCAAGCUGAUGAUCAGUAGCCGGUCUGAGAGGAUGAACUGCCACAUUGGGACUGAGACACGGCCCAGACUCCUACGGGAGGCAGCAGUGGGGAAUCUUGCGCAAUGGGGGCAAGCCUGACGGAGCAACGCCGCGUGAGUGAAGAAGGUUUUCGGAUCGUAAAGCUCUGUUGGAAGAGAAGCGGUAUCUUAACAGAAAGCAACGGCUAACUACGUGCCAGCAGCCGCGGUAAUAC